rnacentral:siRNA from 1 species
GAGGCCAUUGUGGUACACGUUUGA